AAAUACCCACACAUACAUACGCACCCGUCCACUUUCGUAACGUGUGACAUUGAUACAGCCUCGGUCCGUAACACACCCAUUUACUUCUUCGUUACGUUAAUGGGACGGAAACACGGAAACAAUUUAAAAAUUCAGAUGUCUUUUAACCGCGACUAUCCCCCGAUUGCAUCAGAAACGUGUUCGCUGACGCUGGAAUCGAGCUUGUUGCCUGCUUUGCAAUCGAACGCCGCGGACACACGGUUUAUGAAGUUUGCAGCAAGGACGCCAGCGAUGCUUGCCGCGUUACUUGUCGUUCUAAUAUCUGAAUAACUAAAUAUUCAUGGUGUCUUUCGAUCGAAACAUUGAGUUAUAGCCUGGUUGAAGUGUGAACCGAGAGUGUUGGAGCCGGACCGACUUGCUGUUGUUAUUGUUAUUCCGUAUCAAUAGAUUAUGUUGCGGUGAUCAACGCAUACAUUACGAUUCGAACAUGAAUUUUAAACACUCAAAUUAUUAUUGUUUUGAAAGUCGUAUCGUAGGUUACGAGUUAUUAUCCAAGUGUACUGAAAACAAGAUAGAUACCUACAGUUGCAACGAAGAUCAUCGCCACAUUCGUCACUUACGACGCCUACGAGCUGUAAUACGCGCCGCGAGUAUGCGUUCCCGCGAAGGUAGACAGUUUUCUCAGAAAUUCUGUGGCAACUCUUGGAAUCGUGAUCCAACGUGUAGAGUGUAGACGAUUAAAGUGUUAUCGAUAUAAGCAAACCGAGACAACUUCCUAAGAUAUCGUUUUCCUUUUAGAUGAAAUGAUUUUAGGGUAAUUAUUUAGAAGUUGGUCCUCCUCACCGAUUUUCGUGACCUUGAAAUAUGUUGUCAAGGUCAUCAUUCUGAACAACUUUUCCCUGUACAUGUUACCGCCGCUCGGCCUUAGUUUCCGAGAUAUUCGUAAAAAAAGAUUGAAAGAGUGAUUGAAGUGGUUUGAGGUUAGGGUUAGGGUUAGGUUUAGGUUAGGUUUAGGUUAGGUUUAGGUUUACUGCGUACAUGGCGUGAUACGAGAGCUAAUAUUCCUCGUUAUGGAACUCGUACGUCUCAUUACGUGGAAUAUAUAGCCGAGUUUUUAUUCCGACGUCAACAUGAUGUUAAUGAGCGUAUAAUGGCAUUUUUUGACAUAAUGGGCGAAAUGUUUCCGAUUUCUGACAAAACACAAAAUGAAUAAUAGGUAUACAAUAUAUAAAAAAUGAAAGAAAGAGUAAUUAUAACGUGAAAAAAUCAAAAACAACACCCUAACCCUAACCCUAACCUCAAACCACUUCAAUCACUUUUCAAUCACCAUUCAGUCUCCAUUUUUCCCGGAAUACAGUGUACUCGUAAUCUAAGUUUAACUAUAGAUUUUUGCAAAUAUCUCGGAAACUAAGGCCGAGCGCCGGUAACAUGUAUAGGAAAAAGUUGUUCAGAAUGAUGACCUUGACAACAUAUUUCAAGGUCACGAAAAUCGGUGAGGAGAGCAAACUUCUAACUAAUUACCAAAGAUUUUUGCAAAUAUCUCGGAAACUCAGGCCGAGCAGCGGUACAAUGUAUAGGGAAAAGUUGUUCAGAAUGAUGACCUUGACAACAUAUUUCAAGGUCACGAAAAUCGGUGAGCAGGACCAACUUCUAAAUAAUUACCGAUUUUAGAUUUAGAUGGAAUAAUGGAAACGCUUGUUUUUUUUAUUAACACGUUAAAUUCGACGUCAAAUAGCAGUAAAAAUAAAUCCGUUGUCUUCUCUCUCUUUUUUUUUUUUUUUUUAAUUAUUCAUGCGAUUGUACAAAAUUGCAGAUGUCGAUUAUCGGUGACCCUCGUCGUGGCAGUCAGUGCGUUUAAUUUAUAUUGCCCGACCGACGUGCUCGCGCAGAUUUUUAAUUCAAACUUUUUUUUCUCGACAAGAUACACUCUCACGAACAGAACAAGACGUCGUUGUUGUGUGGUCGUAAAAAUAAAUUUCUUUCUCCUACCUCUGCUUGGUACCAGUCUCUCCUACAACUCCCACCAUCUUCUUUUCUUUUCACUUCUCCUCUUCAUCCUUCGCCUUCUUUCCUCUCUUUCCCACUCCUCCGCACAUGUCUAUAUCUUAGUUUCUUCUUAUAAUGCAUGCGUACUUACACGCCUUUGAUUGUACAAGUGUCCUACGAUGGAUCGACGAUGAGGUUCGACUUGCUUUUAAACUA